rnacentral:rRNA from 1 species
UACGUAGGGUGCGAGCGUUAAUCGGAAUUACUGGGCGUAAAGCGUGCGCAGACGGUCUGUUAAGACAGAAUGUGAAAUCCCCGGGCUUAACCUGGGAACUGCAUUUGUGACUGGCAGGCUAGAGUAUGGCAGAGGGGGGUAGAAUUCCACGUGUAGCAGUGAAAUGCGUAGAGAUGUGGAGGAAUACCGAUGGCGAAGGCAGCCCCCUGGGCCAAUACUGACGCUCAUGCACGAAAGCGUGGGGAGCAAACAGG